UUUCAUAGCUUCAGCACCAGACUUUGGUCAGGCUGUACAGAGCCCGUUUGCCAUUAGCGUCCCAACAAUUAGUGUGUUUCCAUUCUCAUCAUUUGGAUCCAGAUCACAAGGUCCUCGUCAGAGACUGCAGCCACGUAGGAGACGAAGGUAGCCUUAAGAUCGGCCUGAGAAAUGCCUGAUUAGAAUUCAGUCAAGAGGCCAAAGUCGGUUUGUGGUAGUUUUUUGGAACAUGUACAUUUUCAUGGUUUAAAAAAAAAAA